rnacentral:rRNA from 1 species
AACGAACGCUGGCGGCAGGCCUAACACAUGCAAGUCGAACGCUCCGCAAGGGGAGUGGCAGACGGGUGAGUAACACGUGGGAACCUUCCCAUCGCUACGGAAUAGCUCAGGGAAACUUGGGGGUAAUACCGUAUACGCCCGAAAGGGGAAAGAUUUAUCGGCGAUGGAUGGGCCCGCGGCUGAUUAGCUAGUUGGUGAGGUAACGGCUCACCAAGGCGACGAUCAGUAGCUGGUCUGAGAGGACGACCAGCCACACUGGGACUGAGACACGGCCCAGACUCCUACGGGAGGCAGCAGUGGGGAAUAUUGGACAAUGGGCGCAAGCCUGAUCCAGCCAUGCCGCGUGAGUGACGAAGGUCUUCGGAUUGUAAAGCUCUUUUGGCGGGGGACGAUAAUGACGGUACCCGCAGAAUAAGCCCCGGCUAACUUCGUGCCAGCAGCCGCGGUAAU